CAAGUCGAACGAGAAAGUGGAGCAAUCCAUGAGUACAGUGGCGUACGGGUGAGUGACACGUGGGUAAUCUACCUCUUAGUGGGGAAUAACCAGGGGAAACUCUGGCUAAUACCGCAUAAGCCUGAGAAGGGAAAGCAGCAAUGCGCUGAGAGAGGAGCCCGCGGCCGAUUAGCUAGUUGGAGGGGUAAGAGCCCACCAAGGCAGAGAUCGGUAGCCGGCCUGAGAGGGCACACGGCCACACUGGCACUGAAACACGGGCCAGACUCCUACGGGAGGCAGCAGUGGGGAAUCUUGCACAAUGGGGGAAACCCUGAUGCAGCGACGCCGCGUGAGCGAUGAAGCCCUUCGGGGUGUAAAGCUCUUUCGUCAGGGACGAUAAUGACGGUACCUGGAGAAGCAGCUGCGGCUAACUACGUGCCAGCAGCCGCGGUAAUACGUAGGCAGCAAGCGUUGUUCGGAGUUACUGGGCGUAAAGGGUGUGUAGGCGGUUCUUUAAGUUUGGUGUGAAAUCUCCCGGCUCAACUGGGAGGGUGCGCCGAAUACUGAGGGACUAGAGUACGGGAGAGGAAAGUGGAAUUCCUGGUGUAGCGGUGAAAUGCGUAGAUAUCAGGAGGAACACCGGUGGUGUAGACGGCUUUCUGGACCGUAACUGACGCUGAGACACGAAAGCGUGGGUAGCAAACAGGAUUAGAUACCCUGGUAGUCCACGCCCUAACGAUGCAUAUUUGGUGUGGGCAGUUCAUUCUGUCCGUGCCGGAGCUAACGCGUUAAUAUGCCGCCUGGGGAGUACAGUCGCAAGGCUGAAACUCAAAGGAAUUGACGGGGGCCCGCACAAGCGGUGGA
rnacentral:rRNA from 1 species